rnacentral:rRNA from 1 species
UGACCUCAAAUCAGGUAGGACUACCCGCUGAACUUAAGCAUAUCAAUAAGCGGAGGAAAAGAAACUAACAAGGAUUCCCCUAGUAACUGCGAGUGAAGCGGGAAAAGCUCAAAUUUUGAAUCUGGCGGUC